rnacentral:rRNA from 1 species
AGCAACAAAUGCCCUGCUUCCAGGAAAAGCCUCUAAGCAUCAGGUAACAUCAAAUCGUACCCCAAACCGACACAGGUGGUCAGGUAGAGAAUACCAAGGCGCUUGAGAGAACUCGGGUGAAGGAACUAGGCAAAAUGGUGCCGUAACUUCGGGAGAAGGCACGCUGACACGUAGGUGAAGUGAUUUACUCAUGGAGCUGAAGUCAGUCGAAGAUACCAGCUGGCUGCAACUGUUUAUUAAAAACACAGCACUGUGCAAACACGAAAGUGGACGUAUACGGUGUGACGCCUGCCCGGUGCCGGAAGGUUAAUUGAUGGGGUCAGCGCAAGCGAAGCUCCUGAUCGAAGCCCCGGUAAACGGCGGCCGUAACUAUAACGGUCCUAAGGUAGCGAAAUUCCUUGUCGGGUAAGUUCCGACCUGCACGAAUGGCGUAAUGAUGGCCAGGCUGUCUCCACCCGAGACUCAGUGAAAUUGAACUCGCUGUGAAGAUGCAGUGUACCCGCGGCAAGACGGAAAGACCCCGUGAACCUUUACUAUAGCUUGACACUGAACAUUGAGCCUUGAUGUGUAGGAUAGGUGGGAGGCUUUGAAGUGUGGACGCCAGUCUGCAUGGAGCCGACCUUGAAAUACCACCCUUUAAUGUUUGAUGUUCUAACGUGGACCCGUAAUCCGGGUUGCGGACAGUGUCUGGUGGGUAGUUUGACUGGGGCGGUCUCCUCCUAAAGAGUAACGGAGGAGCACGAAGGUUGGCUAAUCCUGGUCGGACAUCAGGAGGUUAGUGCAAUGGCAUAAGCCAGCUUGACUGCGAGCGUGACGGCGCGAGCAGGUGCGAAAGCAGGUCAUAGUGAUCCGGUGGUUCUGAAUGGAAGGGCCAUCGCUCAACGGAUAAAAGGUACUCCGGGGAUAACAGGCUGAUACCGCCCAAGAGUUCAUAUCGACGGCGGUGUUUGGCACCUCGAUGUCGGCUCAUCACAUCCUGGGGCUGAAGUAGGUCCCAAGGGUAUGGCUGUUCGCCAUUUAAAGUGGUACGCGAGCUGGGUUUAGAACGUCGUGAGACAGUUCGGUCCCUAUCUGCCGUGGGCGCUGGAGAACUGAGGGGGGCUGCUCCUAGUACGAGAGGACCGGAGUGGACGCAUCACUGGUGUUCGGGUUGUCAUGCCAAUGGCACUGCCCGGUAGCUAAAUGCGGAAGAGAUAAGUGCUGAAAGCAUCUAAGCACGAAACUUGCCCCGAGAUGAGUUCUCCCUGAGACUUUAGGUCUCCUGAAGGAACGUUGAAGACGACGACGUUGAUAGGCCGGGUGUGUAAGCGCAGCGAUGCGUUGAGCUAACCGGUACUAAUGAACCGUGAGGCUUAACCUUACAAC